AUGAGAGGAAGGAGGAAGGGGACGAUGGGCAGAUGGGUAGGGAAGCCAUCUCGCUGCGCUGCUCUGCUCUGCUCUCCUGUGGGUAGAUUGUGGGGUGCCCACUGCCCAGAGCUUCGCUUCGGUUGGGGAGUGACGACGCGACUGUGUCUUGCUGUCAGCAAGUGGGGUCCAGAUGCCAGGGGAAACAUCGGGCCUCGGGUCAGAGCGAAGGCGAGGCGCUCUUCCCGCCGCUCCCCUCAAAGGCUCAAACUGCCAAAGUACACACGCGCGCCGCGCAGCGUCCGUCGCACCCCACCACGGCGGCGCAACCACCCACGCCUCGCCUCCCUCGCCGCCCGGCCGGAACCUUCUCAAUCUCACCGACUACCCGCCGGGCUCCUAUCCGCGCUUACCGUGCUCGACGCGUUCCCCGCCUCCUCUCGUGCCCACCGACGCCGCGGCGGCGGGAUCGGCGUCCGAUUCACGCGCGCCUUCCACGCCACCGAGCCGUGCGGUGCAGCCGCUCCCGCGUGUGAUCCUGCGCGGCCCGGUCUUGCACUGGAUGGAUCGCGGGGCGUGGGCUGCCAUUGCCUGGCCUCGGACGCGUGA
rnacentral:rRNA from 1 species